rnacentral:rRNA from 1 species
GACGAACGCUGGCGGCGUGCUUAACACAUGCAAGUCGAACGGAAAGGCCCUGCUUUUGUGGGGUGCUCGAGUGGCGAACGGGUGAGUAACACGUGAGUAACCUGCCCUUGACUUUGGGAUAACUUCAGGAAACUGGGGCUAAUACCGGAUAGGAGCUCCUGCUGCAUGGUGGGGGUUGGAAAGUUUCGGCGGUUGGGGAUGGACUCGCGUCUUAUCAGCUUGUUGGUGGGGUAGUGGCUUACCAAGGCUUUGACGGGUAGCCGGCCUGAGAGGGUGACCGGCCACAUUGGGACUGAGAUACGGCCCAGACUCCUACGGGAGGCAGCAGUGGGGAAUAUUGCACAAUGGGCGGAAGCCUGAUGCAGCAACGCCGCGUGCGGGAUGACGGCCUUCGGGUUGUAAACCGCUUUCGCCUGUGACGAAGCGUGAGUGACGGUAAUGGGCAAAGAAGCACCGGCUAACUACGUG